rnacentral:lncRNA from 1 species
CCAUAUACCAAGCCCUAUCUUCACAAGACAGGCUAUAAUCUUAGGCUAGCUAAGUGACUUACCAGUGGGUCAUCCAUAUCAUAUGUGGACUUUGCUCUCUGCACCUCUAUGUAUUUCUACUUGAGAUAGUCGCAUGUUCUGCUGCUCUAUGUGCUUGGAUAUCUGGUGAGACCUAGACUCCUUAGCAAGGACUAUGGUGCUAUUAUCUUUGCAGUAUAAUAUCAUGUCAUUUGAUGGCACAACAUCCAAUUUUGCAAC